UACGGGGGAUGCAAGCGUUAUCCGGAAUCAUUGGGCGUAAAGCGCCUGUAGGUUGUUUAAUAAGUCUGUUGUUAAAGACUAGGGCUCAACCCUAGGAAAGCAAUGGAAACUACUAGACUAGAGUAUGGCAGGGGUAGAGGGAAUUUCUAGUGUAGCGGUGAAAUGCGUAGAUAUUAGAAAGAACACCGGUGGCGAAAGCGCUCUACUGGACCAUUACUGACACUCAGAGGCGAAAGCUAGGGUAGCAAAAGGGAUUAGAUACCCCUGUAGUCCUAGCCGUAAACGAUGGAUACUAGAUGUUGCGCUUAUUGUGCAGUGUCGUAGCUAACGCGUUAAGUAUCCCGCCUGGGGAGUACGAUCGCAAGGUUG
rnacentral:rRNA from 1 species